GAUGAAGAACGUAGCGAAAUGCGAUAAGUAAUGUGAAUUGCAGAAUUCAGUGAACCAUCGAAUCUUUGAACGCACAUUGCGCCCGGCAGUAAUCUGCCGGGCAUGCCUGUCCGAGCGUCAUUUCUGCCCUCGAGCGAGUCCAGCAUCUAGGUGCUGGGCCCUCCCGGCGUUGGGGCACUACGGGAAGCCCUGUGCUGUCCCCCGUAGGCCCCGAAAUGAAGUGGCGGUCCUGCCGCGGCGCCCCCUGCGUAGUAUAACAGCUCGCUUCGGGACCCGGUGGAGGCCUGCCGUCAAACCUUACUCUCUAAGUUUGACCUCGGAUCAGGUAGGGUUACCCGCUGAACUUAAGCAUAUCAAUAAGCGGAGGA
rnacentral:misc_RNA from 1 species